UACAGAGGAGCCAAGCGUUGUCCGGAUUGACUGGGCGUAAAGCGCACGCAGGCGGACGCGCGCGUGGGGUGUGAAAUCUGGCCGCUUAACGGCCAGGCGCCAUCCCAUACGGCGCGUCUGGAGUGAUGCAGAGGUCGAUGGAAUUGCCGGUGUAGUGGUGAAAUGCGUAGAGAUGGGGGAGAACACUCGUGGCGAAGGCGGCCAGCUAGACCAGUUCUGACACUGAGGCGCGACAGCGUGGGGAGCAAACAGG
rnacentral:rRNA from 1 species